GUGGUCCCCUCUCUGCUCAGCCUGCCUGAGCUGGUCUGAGGGUCCUGAUUUUUCACCAGUGCCUUCCCUUCUACUGUUCCCUGAGGACAGGCACCCCCAGAUGGAAACUCUGACUUGCCCUCUACCUCAUCUCCACAGGAACCUUCCUCCUCAAAAAUCAAAGAACACAGUGGAUGCGAAAAUAUUCCAUAAAUGGAAAAACGUAGAUGUAGAGAAGAACUAAGCCACAUCUGUCGAGGGCCCUGCACUUGCCAGGUCAUGAGCUAUGAAGUUGAUUUACUGACCCAUGAAUGGGUCACAACCCGCAGUUUGGAAACAGCUGGAUGGACCCCCACCUGUGCUUUCCAGCUUCUCCUAGAGCCUCAGGGCCCCAGGAAGGCAGUGUGGUCUCUGCAACCAGGUCCUUCUCCUGGGAGAAACACUUCAACUUUUGCAAAAGAUUCAUUAAUUCAUCACCAUGGCACCCAGAAA
rnacentral:lncRNA from 10 species